GCCUUCGGGUUGUAAACCUCUUUCAGUAGGGAAGAAGCGAAAGUGACGGUACCUGCAGAAGAAGCGCCGGCUAACUACGUGCCAGCAGCCGCGGUAAUACGUAGGGCGCAAGCGUUGUCCGGAAUUAUUGGGCGUAAAGAGCUCGUAGGUGGCUUGUCGCGUCUGCCGUGAAAACCCGAGGCUCAACCUCGGGCGUGCGGUGGGUACGGGCAGGCUAGAGUGUGGUAGGGGAGACUGGAACUCCUGGUGUAGCGGUGAAAUGCGCAGAUAUCAGGAAGAACACCGAUGGCGAAGGCAGGUCUCUGGGCCAUUACUGACACUGAGGAGCGAAAGCAUGGGUAGCGAACAGGAUUAGAUACCCUGGUAGUCCAUGCCGUAAACGUUGGGCACUAGAUGUGGGGGACAUUCCACGUUUUCCGCGUCGUAGCUAACGCAUUAAGUGCCCCGCCUGGGGAGUACGGCCGCAAGGCUAAAACUCAAAGGAAUUGACGGGGGCCCGCACAAGCGGCGGAGCAUGCUGAUUAAUUCGAUGCAACGCGAAGAACCUUACCAAGGCUUGACAUGCACCGGGCGACUGCAGAGAUGUGGUUUUCUUCGGACUGGUGCACAGGUGGUGCAUGGUUGUCGUCAGCUCGUGUCGUGAGAUGUUGGGUUAAGUCCCGCAACGAGCGCAACCCUCGUUCUAUGUUGCCAGCACGUCAUGGUGGGGACUCAUAGGAGACUGCCGGGGUCAACUCGGAGGAAGGUGGGGACGACGUCAAAUCAUCAUGCCCCUUAUGUCUUG
rnacentral:rRNA from 1 species